rnacentral:rRNA from 1 species
GAUUAACGCUGGCGGCGUGCAUAACACAUGCAAGUCGAACGAUGAAACUUCAAAGAUCCCUUCGGGGUGAAUUGAAAUGGAUUAGUGGCGAACGGGUGAGUAACGCGUGAGUAACCUGCCUUACACAAGGGGAUAGCCUCUGGAAACGGAGAAUAAUACCCUAUGAAACCAGACAAUCGCAUGAUAAUCUGGUCAAAAUGUUUAGUGGUGUAAGAUGGACUUGCGUCUGAUUAGCUAGUUGGUGAGAUAACAGCUCACCAAGGCAACGAUCAGUAGCCGGCUUGAGAGAGUGUACGGCCACAUUGGGGACUGAGACACGGCCCAGACUCCUACGGGAGGCAGCAGUGGGGAAUUUUGCACAAUGGGGGAAACCCUGAUGCAGCGACGCCGCGUGAUUUAGAAGGCCUUCGGG